UACGUAGGGCGCAAGCGUUAUCCGGAAUUAUUGGGCGUAAAGAGCUCGUAGGCGGUUUGUCGCGUCUGCCGUGAAAGUCCGGGGCUCAACUCCGGAUCUGCGGUGGGUACGGGCAGGCUUGAGUUCGGUAGGGGAGACUGGAAUUCCUGGUGUAGCGGUGAAGUGCGCAGAUAUCAGGAGGAACACCGGUGGCGAAGGCGGCUUCCUGGCCUGUUCUUGACGCUGAGGCGCGAAAGCUAGGGUAGCAAACGGG
rnacentral:rRNA from 1 species